UCCCUUUUAUUUACCCAAACUAUGUGAUUGAAUAAAUCCUCCUCCAUCUGUUGCGGGUCGAGGACUCCUUCCCCUUCUUCAAACUUUGAUUCAUAUUUUCCAUAGGGAUAUCUCUUAUCAACGAUAAAAUAAGAUCCUUUUUGAAUCAUAUCUAAGGGAUUCCUUGGUUCGGACCGAAGAAGCAAUGUCACUCGAUCAUUAUCAAACUGACUGCAA